rnacentral:rRNA from 1 species
UGGGGAAUAUUGGACAAUGGGCGAAAGCCUGAUCCAGCCAUGCCGCGUGUGUGAAGAAGGUUUUCGGAUUGUAAAGCACUUUAAGUUGGGAGGAAGGGCAGUAAGCGAAUACCUUGCUGUUUUGACGUUACCGACAGAAUAAGCACCGGCUAACUCUGUGCCAGCAGCCGCGGUAAUACAGAGGGUGCAAGCGUUAAUCGGAAUUACUGGGCGUAAAGCGCGCGUAGGUGGUUCGUUAAGUUGAAUGUGAAAGCCCCGGGCUCAACCUGGGAACUGCAUCCAAAACGGGCGAGCGAGAGUAGGGCAGAGGGUGGUGGAAUUUCCUGUGUAGCGGUGAAAGGCGUAGAUAUAGGAAGGAACACCAGUGGCGAAGGCGACCACCUGGGCUCAUACUGACACUGAGAUGCGAAAGCGUGGGGAGCAAACAGG